UACAGAGGGGGCAAGCGUUGUUCGGAAUUACUGGGCGUAAAGGGCGCGUAGGCGCCUUCUAAGUCGAAACGUGAAAUCCCCGGGCUCAACCCGGGAACUGCGUCCGAUACUGGAAGGCUUGAAUCCGGGAGAGGGAUGUGGAAAUUCCAGGUGUAGCGGUGAAAUGCGUAGAUAUCUGGAGGAACACCGGUGGCGAAGGCGACAUCCUGGACCGGUAUUGACGCUGAGGCGCGAAAAGCCAGGGGAGCAAA
rnacentral:rRNA from 1 species